rnacentral:tRNA from 1 species
GGGGAUAUGGCGAAAUCGGUAGACGCUACGGACUUAAAAAAUCCGUCGACUUUUAAAAUCGUGAGGGUUCAAGU